rnacentral:rRNA from 1 species
UACGUAGGGGGCAAGCGUUGUCCGGAUUUAUUGGGCGUAAAGAGCGUGUAGGCGGCCAGGUAGGUCAGCUGUGAAAACUCGAGGCUCAACCUCGAGACGCCGGUUGAAACCAUCUGGCUAGAGUCCGGAAGAGGAGAGUGGAAUUCCUGGUGUAGCGGUGAAAUGUGUAGAGAUCGGGAGGAACACCGGUGGCGAAGGCGGUCUUCUGGACGGUGACUGACGCUGAGGCGCGAAAGCGUGGGGAGCAAACGGG